rnacentral:rRNA from 1 species
GUAGGGGGCAAGCGUUAUCCGGAUUUACUGGGUGUAAAGGGAGCGUAGACGGCUGUGCAAGUCUGAAGUGAAAGGCAUGGGCUCAACCUGUGGACUGCUUUGGAAACUGUGCAGCUAGAGUGUCGGAGAGGUAAGUGGAAUUCCUAGUGUAGCGGUGAAAUGCGUAGAUAUUAGGAGGAACACCAGUGGCGAAGGCGGAUUGCUGGACGACAACUGACGGUGAGGCGCGAAAGCGUGGGGAGCAAACAGGAUUAGAUACCCUGGUAGUCCACGCUGUAAACGAUGAAUACUAGGUGUGCGGGGACUGACCCCCUGCGUGCCGCAGCUAACGCAAUAAGUAUUCCACCUGGGGAGU